ensembl:snoRNA
UGAUGACACAACUCCGGAAUCUCUGUAUUUUCUUGAUGAAAAUGCUGAACCCUAUUCUGAUGGCUGCAAAAAUAAAAAGGCUUUAUC